GUGCCAGCCGCCGCGGUAAUACAGAGGUCUCAAGCGUUGUUCGGAAUUAUUGGGCGUAAAGGGUGCGCAGGCGGCUUGGUCAGUUAGGUGUGAAAACUCGGAGCUCAACUCCGAAAUUGCAUUUAAUACUACUAGGCUAGAGUGCUGUAUAGGAAGCUGGAACUUACGGUGUAGCAGUGAAAUGCGUAGAUAUCGUAAUGAAGACCAGAGGCGAAAGCGAGCUUCUGAGCAGUUACUGACGCUCAUGCACGAAAGCCAAGGUAGCAAACGGGAUUAGAUACCCUCGUAGUCC
rnacentral:rRNA from 1 species